rnacentral:ncRNA from 1 species
UAAAGGUUUGGUCCUAACCUUAUCAUCAGCUAUUUCUUGACUUACACAUGCAAGUCUCCGCAUGCCCGUGAGAACGCCCUUAUUCCUCCCUCAGGGUAAGGAGCUGGUAUCAGGCACAGACACCUAGCCCAUAACACCUAGCCCUGCCACUCCCCCAAGGGUAUUCAGCAGUGAUUAACAUUGUUCAUAAGCGCCAGCUUGACCCAGUCAAAGCAAAUAGAGUCGGCCAACCCGGUGCCAGCCGCCGCGGCUACACCAUUGGACUCAAGUUGAUGAAUUUCGGCGUUAAGCGUGAUUAAAGUGAUCAAAAGAUUAGAAUUAAACCACAACAAAGUUGUAACACACUUGUUUUCAAGAAGCACAAAACGAAAGUUAUUUUAACUCGACAACUUGACCUCACGACAGCUAAGAAACAAACUGGGAUUAGAUACCCCACUAUGCCUAGCCGUAAAACAUCAACCCACACCUAAAUCGCCAGGGAAUUACGAGCCCAAGCUUAAAACCCAAAGGACUUGACGGUGUCCCAUCCCCCUAGAGGAGCCUGUUCUAUAAUCGAUUCUCCCCGAUCAACCUCACCGCCUCUCGAACCCCAGUCUGUAUACCUCCGUCGCAAGCUUACCAUGUGAACGCUUACUCGUGAGCCCAAAGAUCAUACAUUCACACGUCAGGUCAAGGUGCAGCCUACGAGGCGGGAAGAAAUGGGCUACAAUCUCUACCCUAGAACAAACGGAAGUACUACGUGCAAUACAGUCACUUAAGGCGGAUUUAGUAGUAAAAAGAAAAUAGAGAGUUCUUUUUAACCGGGCGCUGGGACGCGUACACACCGCCCGUCACCCUCUUCAAAUAGGUUAGACACUGUCACUAACACCACAACCCCCACACAGGAGAGGCAAGUCGUAACACGGUAAGCGUACUGGAAAGUGCGCUUGGAAUAACAAA